ACGCACGCUGGCGGCGUGCCUAAUACAUGCAAGUUGAGCGCUGAAGGUUGGUACUUGUACCAACUGGAUGAGCAGCGAACGGGUGAGUAACGCGUGGGGAAUCUGCCUUUGAGCGGGGGACAACAUUUGGAAACGAAUGCUAAUACCGCAUAAAAACUUUAAACACAAGUUUUAAGUUUGAAAGAUGCAAUUGCAUCACUCAAAGAUGAUCCCGCGUUGUAUUAGCUAGUUGGUGAGGUAAAGGCUCACCAAGGCGAUGAUACAUAGCCGACCUGAGAGGGUGAUCGGCCACAUUGGGACUGAGACACGGCCCAAACUCCUACGGGAGGCAGCAGUAGGGAAUCUUCGGCAAUGGACGAAAGUCUGACCGAGCAACGCCGCGUGAGUGAAGAAGGCUUUCGGAUCGUAAAACUCUGUUGGUAGAGAAGAACGUUGGUGAGAGUGGAAAGCUCAUCAAGUGACGGUAACUACCCAGAAAGGGACGGCUAACUACGUG
rnacentral:rRNA from 1 species